rnacentral:misc_RNA from 1 species
CAAAAUUGUAAACAGAUAACCCAUUCAUACAAAACUGAAGAAUGUAAAGUUCAUGAUCAUAACUGCUAAAAUAUGAAAAGAGGAAUGAACUUCAAAUCCAACUUAAAUUCAAACGAAAACAACUAACUGAUUCAAACAACUUACUGAAGGGUGGCGAUAUCUAAAGAACAAGUUAAAAUAAGCAGUGAAGGUGAAGGCCAAAAAUCUCAACUCUCAAACAUAUAUAACUCUUUUUUUUUUUUUUCAGCAACUAGGAAACUCAAAUAGGGGGAAAUAUGCACAACACUUAACAAUUAACAAAAGGCUAGAGAAGAUAACAGAAGAGAGGGAGCUUAGGUGUGAUCUUCGAAUGGCAGCACUCCAAGGGACACCAGCGGGCCAACAACAAUGCCGAGGGCAGCAAGCAAGGUGAUGAUGACUGAUGAAAGUAUGAGAUAUGGAUUGGCGAAAAUGGUGAGUGGCGACAGCAGGCGAAGAAGAAGAGGGAAGAGCCCACGCCAGAGAUGAAAAUGGGCAGAAGGGAAGGAUGUUAGGGAUUUGAAGGUUUACUUCUUUUUGAAAACUGAAAAUUAUGGGUUCUCAUGGGCCUCUUUA